rnacentral:rRNA from 1 species
GAUGAACGCUGGCGGCGUGCCUAAUACAUGCAAGUCGAGCGAACGGACGAGAAGCUUGCUUCUCUGAUGUUAGCGGCGGACGGGUGAGUAACACGUGGAUAACCUACCUAUAAGACUGGGAUAACUUCGGGAAACCGGAGCUAAUACCGGAUGAUAUUUUGAACCGCAUGGUUCAAAAGUGAAAGACGGUCAUGCUGUCACUUAUAGAUGGAUCCGCGCUGCAUUAGCUAGUUGGUAAGGUAACGGCUUACCAAGGCAACGAUGCAUAGCCGACCUGAGAGGGUGAUCGGCCACACUGGAACUGAGACACGGUCCAGACUCCUACGGGAGGCAGCAGUAGGGAAUCUUCCGCAAUGGGCGAAAGCCUGACGGAGCAACGCCGCGUGAGUGAUGAAGGUCUUCGGAUCGUAAAACUCUGUUAUUAGGGAAGAACAUAUGUGUAAGUAACUGUGCACAUCUUGACGGUACCUAAUCAGAAAGCCACGGCUAACUACGUG